UGGGGAAUAUUGGACAAUGGGCGCAAGCCUGAUCCAGCAAUGCCGCGUGAGUGAUGAAGGCCUUCGGGUUGUAAAGCUCUUUCGCACGCGACGAUGAUGACGGUAGCGUGAGAAGAAGCCCCGGCUAACUUCGUGCCAGCAGCCGCGGUAAUACGAAGGGGGCUAGCGUUGUUCGGAAUUACUGGGCGUAAAGGGCGCGUAGGCGGUACUUCAAGUCAGGCGUGAAAGCCCCGGGCUCAACCUGGGAACCGCGCUUGAGACUGGAGAACUAGAGUUCGGGAGAGGAUGGUGGAAUUCCCAGUGUAGAGGUGAAAUUCGUAGAUAUUGGGAAGAACACCGAUGGCGAAGGCAGCCAUCUGGACCGACACUGACGCUGAGGCGCGAAAGCGUGGGGAGCAAACAGGAUUAGAUACCCUGGUAGUCCACGCCGUAAACGAUGAGUGCUAGACGUUGGGGUCCUUAGGGCUUCGGUGUCGCAGCUAACGCAUUAAGC
rnacentral:rRNA from 1 species